GACGAACGCUGGCGGCGUGCUUAACACAUGCAAGUCGAACGGAAAGGCCCUGCUUGCAGGGUACUCGAGUGGCGAACGGGUGAGUAACACGUGGGUGAUCUGCCCUGCACUUCGGGAUAAGCCUGGGAAACUGGGUCUAAUACCGGAUAGGAGCCAUUUUUAGUGUGAUGGUUGGAAAGUUUUUUCGGUGUAGGAUGAGCUCGCGGCCUAUCAGCUUGUUGGUGGGGUAAUGGCCUACCAAGGCGGCGACGGGUAGCCGGCCUGAGAGGGUGGACGGCCACAUUGGGACUGAGAGACGGCCCAGACUCCUACGGGAGGAAGAAGUGGGGAAUAUUGCACAAUGGGCGCAAGCCUGAUGCAGCGACGCCGCGUGGGGGAUGACGGCCUUCGGGUUGUAAAAUCCUUUCGCUAGGGACGAAGCUUUUUGUGACGGUACCUAGAGAAGAAGCACCGGCUAACUACGUG
rnacentral:rRNA from 1 species